rnacentral:misc_RNA from 1 species
GUCGGAUUCAAUUAUUUAUUUGUUACUUUCGCAUCGUUCGGUGCAUUCUGGGGACUGUUUUGGCUUUUGGUUGCUUGCUUGGCUUUUUGCUGGGUGGGUCGCUACUAGUUGGGCGGUUGGUGUUUGGUUUGUUACGGGUGGUUGGCUGUCUGCUUGCGCAGCAACGUCCACGCGUGCAUACCUCUUCAGUUUUGCGACAAGGCCUUGUUUGUCUUGAGCAUAUUGUGGGUUUCCUGUGUUGCAUACCUAAUUGAUGGUAACGUUUGGGUUUUACGAUGUCCCUUUUCGUCAUGCGUCGCUCAUGCGGCGUGGGAUGAACAUUGAAGCGGUCUUUGUGAUCCACAUCGUUGUUGCAUCUGCAACGAUGGUGUGGCCUAUGAAGCAUCGUUUGGUCUCUUGUAUACGGAACCUGAUGUGGGCAUGGAUCUUAUUAGAUCUUGAAUCUGCCCUCUUUAAGCGUUCUCGCUUCUCCAAAACGAUUGUCCGCCAUGUCUUGGAUUGCCUUGGCAUGGUGGGCUACGUCGA